GAUGCAUCUUCCCACCACUCGGUAAAAGAUGGCGGAUUUUCAGGGAUCGUAACUACAUAAUCCUGUUUUCUCGGUUCGGAUUUCAUUUUCUUUGUAGAAACGAUGAAGUGAAUUUUGAAUUCGUGUUCUCGUCUAGUUUAAUUAUUUUAAAAUUCGGUUCUUCAGUCAGUGGAUAUAACAGCCUGCCAGCCUAAGCACAGAGCUUCAAAUGAUGGAUUUUCGUCCACGUAUACUCCAUAAGUAAGAGAGGUGUAAUUGAAAUUACAUCGACGAAUGCUCUAUUUCCUUUGUCAUCUUCAACAUUGCACGAAUACCAACCUUCAUCACUGCGAGAAAUGGCAUUAUAAAGACGAUGAGUGUCUAGCACUAUUAUUUCGAAUCUGUACCUACGAAUAUGAAGAAAAUAAUGAAAUUUCUAGAGAGUCAAUUUGAAAGAUGGAUUCCGUUCCAGUCCUUUUCCAAAAACUGAAAAACUUACUUACUGCGGAAUUAUAUUAUUGUUGAUCGGUUGAAAAAAACACACAUUAUGGGUUUUAAAAUUCAACAAGAAAGAAGGAGUUUCGUCAUUUUUUCAAAACUGCAAAUGUGCAUGAUUGCAUAAUAUUUAAGUGGUUUUUUGACCGUGAUUUGUGCCAUUGUAUGUUUGGAGUCGGAUCACCUCACAAGCGUAGGAAAAUUAAUUAUAACGGAUUCAUCUUUUCGACGACGAAUAAUUCACUUAUCCAGUUGAAAUUCAAACCGUUCUCAAAUAUAGGAAUUAACUUCCACAAAUUGGCUACCUACAUGUUCAAUAUUUUACGUAUUUUUAUAAUGGUACCUUAUUUUUUAUUUUACUUUUUUCUCGGUUCCUUUUAAUUUAGAGGCAAUCUGAGAAAAUACCAUCGAAUAUUUGUAAGCACAGGUUCGCUUAACCGGCAACUUGUGAUCCAAGAAAUUCAAUAAACUCCAAACUGAACAGAUUGCGAAACUUCCUUUCUUAAUAUAAAAGUUAUCUUGAGUGGGCAUUACGAAACGUGAAUAUUAAAUAAUAUAAUUCGCUUCAUUUCAGGUAAAAAUUGAUAAAAAGAACAUGUGUUUCAUACCUAUCAUGACUCAUAUUGAAAAAACCCCUGUUUUCGAUUGACUGUCGGUUCACCCCCCCCCCCGAUAGGGGGGAAUGAAGUUGGUGUAUGGGUCAUGUGAUGUGGGGGGGUGGCUAGAGUCUACAAUCAGGGUGAAGCUCACUCGGGACAGGUGGGGACUCCACGCACGGAUUCGUGUUCAGAGUACAAAAAUAAGCCAGUAUAUAUAUCUACCAAAAUUAUUCAGCUCCCCCCCCCCUGUUUCACCAUUCAACGCUAAUUUUCUUGAAACUGACUAUAGGUCCACCCCCUUAGGAGGACAAAAUUGGCUCAUGGGUCAUCUGAUGGGAAAAACUCUGAUAGACUCCCAUUUUUGAGCUAUAGGACCACAAUUUUGAGACAAAUGGGCGAAAAACCUCAUUUGGGAGGCUAAAAUCCACAAUUGGGAGAGAAGCUCAGUAGAGACAGGUGGGGACACCAUAGAUUCGUGUUCUGGGUACAAAAAUGGAAUAGUAUACCAAAGUUCAGCUUUUUUUUUAUCAUUAUAAACCCCGGUCGAUCGCACUAGACGCCGCCGAGGGUUUUCAUUCAAAAUGAUAGAAAAACAAUCUUAAAAUCUUAAGUCUACUAGAGUAUUAAUACUAUCGCCAAAGUAAAAUUACAGCUUCACCCCAAGAUUAAGACAAGGUACGGGAAGGGGAAAGGGGAGAGUGAGACGAAUUCCCACCCAUGCCCAAGCCCCUAGGCGGUUGCCUAAGGCCCGGUCCCUGCCAAGUUCCAGGAGUCGUUAUCCACGUAUACCUGUAUGACAGCCAACCGAGCCCCCAAACCGUCUCUGGGUGAAGUUUGAAGGGGGAGUGAUUUCACCUAGGGGUGGUCCCAAAAAGUUGGGGCUCCUAGUUAUAGUCCACGAGGUACAUUGGGAUAUUUGUGGGGUAGUCAGUGCACUUGGUACUGGCUUCUCACUGACUACUCAUAUUUAAGAUUGUUAUUAUUCUCUAAUUAAUCUAUCUCGUAAUAUGUUACAUUUAUAGGCUAUACCUAGUUAUCCAAUUUGUCUUGAAAUUCGAUCAUCGGAUUAUUUGGCUUCUUCUUUUCUUCUUGGGUUUCUUCUUGUUUGGUUGGGGAAUAAAAAAUAUACAUAUAUACGUUAAGGAAAAAUAUAUACAUGUUAAGGGACAUAUUUACAGGUUAACAAACUACUAGCUACACUGAACCCCUAUCUACAGACAUGUGGAAAUAUGAGGUGGAAAAUGCCUAUUUAUAUUUCUUCGGCACUCACCACCUCUUACAAACUAUAUAUAUAUUAUUUAUAAAUUAAAAAAAAAUUAAUAUACUUACUUAAUUGCUAAUGGACGAUUUUUAGGGUCCAUUGCCAAUGAUCUGUACUUCGAAUACAUGUUUGACACAUCAUUCUCUUUUGAGUUUACUUUCACUACUUUGAGAAUAUUUCUUCGGAAAUAUUCUUUCACUUUUAAAUAUUUUAAUUCGAUAUGCUUAACCCUUCCUUUACUGGUUGAGUUUUUGCAAAUGGACAUCGCUGAUGUACUAUCUUCAAAGAGAGUGAGAGGGUAAGAUAUUGGCCCAAUCACCUCCUCAAAGAGUCUAGCUAGAAACAGAAUCUCAUGAGCUACGUCACAGAUAAAAUACAAGUAUGUAGCCCAGAAUGAUUUUGCCGCGCGUAUUCCUUUUUAAAGGACCGUACCAUUUUCCAUGUCAAAUAGAUUGAAAGUUAUUGGCAGUGGCAUCCCAUCUUUGUACCAUUCUAUGUUUGGUUUUGGAUUCCCUGUAAAUGAACAGUCAACAAUAGUAGAUAUGAGUACCUUUUAAUUUAAUGUGCCUAACAAUGUUAAAUUAUCUCAAAAAGUAUACUGUACCUCCUCCCGAGCAAUUUAGCUCCAUAAAAUUGCCUCCUGGCUUCACCACUAUUUUUGGCAGUCGUUUUAUGCCUAUUAUGUACGGUUCCCUCGCACGGUGUUUCCUUUCUGUCCUCGAGAGAACCUGUAUUUUUAAUACGGUUAGAAAAUUAAAGAUAAGAUAGUAAAUACAUAAGAGCCACGGGUGAGGAUUGAGAACGCUCAAGUCAAUCAACCCUGGGUACCCACACGUUGAUUUGUACGCGAUACCACCUCGAGCGGUUACACCGACCCGAUGAUGAUGAUAUUAAGUGCAGGGGGGCCCAUUAGCAAGGCAGAGGCGUAGCAAGGGGGGUCGAGAGGGUCGAGGAACCCCCAUUGGCGCAGGGUCACUGCUAAAAUUUGGAGAUUGAAAUGGCAUUUUAUCUGACCAAUUAUUUGGAAAAAUCAUGUGGUGGGGGGGAGAGGGAGUGAGUCUGGAGUUCAAAGUUGGGAAAAUCUAGCGUGAAAAGUUGUGAGAAUUUUGCACUCCCCCCACUACACAUCGCUUCAUCACACCUCUGAAAAUAAAAUGUAAUGUUUUUUACGGAUUAAAGUUUCUCGGUCACCUCACCUAUAUUUUUUACAUUGAAAAUUUUUAUGGUCACUUUUUUGGAUACUUUUUGGUUACUUAUUCCAGCUUUUUUGGUUACUAAAGUUACUUUUUGUGAGAAAAAUUUGAGUACAAUCCAGCUGAACAUAGUUACUUGAUAUCUUUAGAAACUAAACAUCGAUAUUUUUGAAAAAUUUCAAGAACGAAUGCCUGGAAAAUAAAUUAAGCUGGGCCUACCUUAUUUCGGGUACAUACAUUAAUUAUGCAACUCACCUGCAUUUCCUAUGAUGCUUGAUACAAUCUUAAUUACUAUGGUUGGACUUGGAGCUUUUUUUGCUUUUUGUUCUUACUCUUUGCUUGAUUCUUUUCAAAAAUUAGUUGAAAUGAAAAGACGGUUGAAUUGAGGGUUUUUUCAAAGAGUUUUGAUCUUUUUUGCCUUUUGUUUUUACUCUUUGCUUGAUUAUUUUCAAAAAUUAGUUGAAAUGAAAAGACGGUUGAAUUGAGAGUUUUUUCAAAGAGUUUUGAUCAAAAUUGUUCAACUAACGUGAAGUAAUUUUUUUGUUAUCUACUCAGAGACCCAUUCUCCCUUUUAUCAGUUCUAGGGUGAUGAGUAUUCAUAAAAUAAUAUGUAAAAUGGUCAAAAUAUACUAUUUCAGUAUUCCUAGGUAAAUAAAUGUCGAGUGCAAAAAGUUGAAAAUUUAAAGAAAUAUGAAAUUACCUAUUUAAAAAAAUGAAUUUUUAAUGGAUUAUUAAGUACAUAUUUUAAAGAAAUAUUAAGUAAUAAAAUGAGAUAAAAAAAUAAAUCUAGAAUUUGAAAAAAUAACUCCUAAAUACAUAUGCAUAGGUAAUGUAGUUUCAAUACCUCAAAAUACCAACUACAUUUUGAAAAAGGUGGGUAUAGAUAUCACAAAAUUAAGUACUCGACCCAAUUUUCAAAGGAGAAGUUGGAAUGAAAAAUUAGGUUGUGAUAUUUGAAAAAAAAGAGGAAGAAAUUAAUCCAUACUUUUCAUUUCGGCAUACUUUGAAUUUUCUUGCAUUAUCCGGAUCGUCAAACCUAUUGAAAAUCGGCGAAAAGUAUAAUUGAUCUUUCUCAUUGGAGAUUGAAUUCCCUAUGAGACAGUUUGGUCUCAUUAUUUUUCAAUUUUCUCAAAAUUCGAGUCCGUAAGAAUGCAGAGGUUCAUUCCCUGCACCGCCAUUGGACUUCGCCCAUCUGAUUUUUCAUUCAAUCUCACCUUAUUAACUUAUUUUUUGUUUAUUUAUUUUUUUAAUGGUUUUAUUUAACGUCGCUCGACCUUACGAUCAUUUGCGGCAUUUGUGACAAAACAUACAGUGUGUAAAAUUACUUACAAAACUAUAAGCUACCUAUUUAUGAACUUCAAACGUGUAAUUUGCGCACCCUAUUCUAUUCGUUGCACAAUUUGCAUGUGUAUUCGCCGGAAUCUUAAAACUGGUAGAAUUUUCUUUCUCUAUUGACCAUUCAUCUCUGAAUCGUUACUUGAAAAGACCAGAACUUCAGGAUUAUGGGCAUAAUUUAAAGAAAAAAUUAAACGUCAUUUUCGUUAUUUCCAUUACAAUUUUUUCGUUACGGGCGCUUUCUUUUUUACUCAUUGUUGUUGAUAAUUCGAUGUAAAUUGCAUUUGUAGCGAAAAAAUUGUAUAACAAAAAUAACGAAAAUAACGUGACAAAAAAAUUCAAAUAGGUACCAGUAUAACGAAAAAUUGAAAAUACUGAAAACCAGAGUGUCUACUGGCAAGAAAAUAACAAGAAUGCGAGAAAAAUUCGAGAAAUUGACAUGGGUGCCAAGAAAGCAAGAGAAUAAUAAUAUACAUAUCUAGAAAUUCCUUCGAAAAGCGAGAAAAUUUCCAAAAGAAUUCACACCAAUAAUCUCGAAAAAGUUGAAACUAUCCCGCCAAUUUCGAAAAAUGUUGAGAUCAGAAAAAUCGAAUUCUUUCAUUGAAAUUGAUAUUGUUAUAUUUUUCGAAUUACAAAUUUUCCAAAGCUUUUGCCGUCGCUUCAUUCGGGCUAUUCAAGGUGCUACUAUCAAAAAUUGUAAGAAUUCAAAAAUUGAAUAGAAAAAUUCCAGAAAUACCCGUAAUACCAAAAUCAUUUGAAAAGUGUGACUCAUUCAUUUUUUUUCUGAACAGAAGCACUAACUUUUCGAAUUUUUUGAUACUUUAGUGCUCCGGUGAAAAAUAAUGUGAAAUAAAACAUACUUUCAAAAUGGUCGUUAUUUUUUUUUUGGACUAAUUUUUUUGAAAAAUUUUCGCUCUCGCUUUUCUCGAGCACUAAUUUUAUUUUCGUUUCAAUAAAAUGAUGAUUCAUUACGCAAGGUUUUCGAAAAAUUACCUGAAAUGUCGAUUUUUUCAUGUCUAAAAAUCUGGGGUUAUCUCCCGCCCCUCCUCUUCCUACAUCACAAAUAAAAAUUAAAACUCCCUUUGUGGUUUCAUCCUGUAAACGCACAGCACGUUAAAAUUUUGAUUUUUGUUGGAAAAACUACAAUUUUUUGUCGGCAAAAUGAAAUGAUACAUACACCCCCCCUCCCCCAGUAACAUGUCUUCGAUACGCCUCUGCGUUUACUUUUAAUUUUGUUAUUGUUUUCAUCUUUGAAUUGAAUUGUAUUCGUUUUAUUAGGUGAUUUUGUUACCUACUCGCGAGGUACUGUGAAUAUUAAUUUUGAUUAAAAUGAUUGUUUUGUUAUCAAGUUUAAGAUUUUGCUACCCAAUGUUUGUUUUUAUUACGGUUUUUUUUUUAUUAUUAUUAUUUUUUUUUCAUCUGAGAUUUUGAUUACUUCCUUGCCUCAACGAAUACCUACCUAAAUUUUUGAGAAAAAUGUUUUUUUUUGGGAGGGGGGUUAUCAAAGAUUAUCUAUGCUUAAAUAUGAGGAGGGAUACAAAAUUUCAUGUUUGAAAACAAGAAAACAGCACAAAGAAGGCAAGAAGAAAAUUUUAUUUUUUGAUUUCAGUAGACACUCUGAUUAAAUUAGUAGAUACGUAUAUUAUCAAGAAGUCAUAAUUAUUUAACAACCAGCACAAAGAUCCAAAGUACAUAUGAAUUGGUCAUGUAAAGCUCUAGUACCGACUUACAUUUUUAUCCAGCUGGUUUUUGCUGAAAAGAAAUGAAACUCGAGGAAGGCUUUAAUUAACGCUAAUAAAUUUUAACAAAGGAAAUCGCUAAAUGGGACAAUACAUAGAACGCGUUUAUACUUAUACCUAUCUACGAGUAUUAAAAUUGAAUCAAUUAAAUUUAAUCAUUUUAAGUAGGUAUUGAUAAGUAAAUGUCGGAAAUCUCCAAACAUGUCAGCACUGUCAGCAGACAUAAGUAUGAGAUAAUUUGACAAAAUAGUAAAAGAUUACUUACAAAAUAAUUUUUCUGAAACUUCAGUAGUGAAUGUAUUUUUAUGAAAUUCGAAUGCAUGUUUUGUACAUCCUAGAUUAUUGCAUUCUUAUCAGGUUGAUCUUUGCAAUUCAUACAUUUUGGAGUCGAUUAAGCCGCAUUUGGUGUUGCAAGUUUUGAAUGUUUUGGUUAUGAUUACGUAAAAUGUCCUGGCGUGCAAAACACAUCAUUUCAUUCCAUUAUCAUUACUGUAAUCAGACUCCAACAUACUGCCUAAGUUCAGGGUGCAAUUCAGUCAUGGAAUUUAGGUAUUUUUUCAACAUGUAACUUUAAAUUAACUACAACGAUACAGCAAUAAAACGACAUUUUUAAUUUUUGGCUCUUUUGAAGAUUUUGAAUUAUUGUCAGUACCACAGUGUUAAAAUAUUAAAAGAUUACUUACAAUUAGUAUGGUAGAACUACCAUCUCAUAUUGAAACAUUGCCACCAGGCAGUAAAUUAUCAGGGAUUUUACUUUACCUAUAGUCCUAGUAUACACCAAAGCUUUAUGCCAAUGAAAUGUCACCGAUUCAGUACCUAAGUUAGCAAUAGUAGUUGCAUUCCACAUUAUCAAGUCCAAAACAAUACUUAUUGUAAGAUUUGAAGAAUAAUAAUUUUGAAAAUACAUAUAAUUUCAAAUCAAGAAAUACUUAAUAGUACAUAGAUAGGUAAAAUUUUAAUUAUGAUUAUUUGAAUUUUAAAUUCAAUGCGUUAUUCUGUCACAUUAUAAUAAUUAUUGAAUUUUCAUACAAUGUGUGGUCAAUUUUGGGUAAAUUAUUUAUUCAUUUUGAUGUUAAAAUUUUUUAUUAUAAAUAUAUAUGUAAGUACUUAACAACUUACCUACCCGGGGGAAAAAGUUCAAACUUGGCCAUACAUGAUCAAUUUUGAUCAAACACAAACUGAUGUUUCCAUACAUGCUCAUGUUAAAAAAUUGUCCCCCACAUGAUCAUACAUGUCAUAUAUGAUCAUGUAUGAUCAAGUAUGAUUUAGUGUAACCAUGAUCAUGUGAAAAUGUGGGGAUUUCUUUUAACAUGAACAUGUAUGAUCAUACUUUAAAUUCGAGAAUGUAUGAAUUUUUAUACAGUAAAACCUCGAUAAGUGCAACCUCAAUAACUGCAAAUUCGCGUUAAGUGCAACAAAAAUGUAAUCCCUGGUCCCAACAGUCAAUUUACCAUGUAAAUUCACCUUCAUAAGUGCAAAUAGUAACCUCGAUAAGUGCAACAAUUUUUUGGCGGUAGAAAGCACUUUCACCUCUAUAAGUGCACGUUGCUGUAUGUUUCACCUCUAUAAGUGCAAAAUUACCUCUACAUAUAAUAAAAAUUGUAGGCGAAUUUAACCUCUAUAAGUGCAAGUUGCUCUACGUUUUGCCUCUAUAAGUGCAAAACUACCUAGACAAUAGAAAUUGUAGGUGAAUCUAACCUCUAUAAGUGCAAGUUGCUGAACGUUUCACCUCUAUAAGUGCAAAAUUGCGUAGGCAAUGGAAAUUGCAGGAGAAUUAAACCUUUGUGAAUUGCUUACCUUGAUAAGUGCAAAUUGUGGAAAAAUAACCUUGCUAUGUGCAAACCUUUUUAAGUGAAAAACUUGAUAAGUGCAAUAAUUUUUCCUGUCCCUUGAGUUUGCACUUAUCGAGGUUUUACUGUAAUAAAAAUAUUGAUUAUUGAACGUCAGUAUAAAAUAUAUGAGAUGAUUUGCUGAAUGGUAUAAGUACAUAAGAUGUGCUAAGUAUGCAAGACAAAUGUGGAUAAAUGAAUUUCAGACAUUUUUCUAGAUUAUAGACACUUUUCUAGAUUAUAGAAUAAAAUGUAUGAUAUAAAACAUGCAAUUUCAUACAAAUUAUCCAUACAUGAGCAUGUGGGGGACAAUUUUUUAGUAUAAUCAUGUAUGAAGUCGUCAUACAUGAUCAUGUAUGGCCAAGUUUGAACUUUUUUCCCCGGGUACUUUUUCAUUUUUAAUUUUUUGCUCUUUUGAAGAUUUAGAAUUGUCAGUACCACAGUGUUAAAAUAUUAAAAGAUUACUUACAAUUAGUAUGGUAGAACUACCAUCUCAUAUUGAAACAUUGCCACCAGACAGUAAAUUAUCAGGGAUUUUUACUUUACCUAGUCCUAGCAUACAACAAAGCUUAUGCCAAUGAAAUGUCACAAAUUCAGUACCUAGAUUUGCAAAUGUAGUUGUGUUCCAUAUUAUCAAGUCCAAAACAAUACUAAGUACCUAUAGGUUCAAAAAAGUACCUACUUAUUGUAAGAUUUGAAGAAUAAUAAUUUUGAAAAUAUAAUUUCAAAUCAAGAAAUAAUAGUAGGUACAUAGAUAGGUAAAAUUUUAUUUAUAUUUGAAUUUUAAAAAUUUUACAUUCAAUGCGUUAUUCUGUCACAUUGAUAUAUAAAAAUUAUUGAAUUUUCAUACAAUGUGUGGUCAAUUUUAAGGAAAUUAUUUAUUCAUUUGACGUUGAAAAAUUUUAUUAUAAAUAUACAUAUGUACUUAACUACUUACCUAUACUUUUUCAACAUUGUGGCACCAACAUACUCGAGGGUAUGUUGUGACACCAGGGAUAUAUGUAAUUAAAGUCUUUGAGGCACCUUGGGAAUGACAUUCAUUCAGAUACCACUAAAUAUAAUCAAACUUUGCUUAGUACAUUAACUGAUUCAAAAAUAAUAAGCACAUAAGUACAUAGAUAUAAAUAAAAAUUACCACAGUAAGAUGUGUUGGUCAGAUUCUAAAUGUUCAGUGCUUUAGAAAUGAUGAUACGAGUACAACAAGUGGCAAAUUUCCUUUGAGCUUGAGAUUUUUCAAUGAGUUAAUUAUAAUGGUGCCUACUAGCUAUAAUGUUGCUGUUUUUUGUGUUGUAUAUUGCAUUUACAAGUAGGUGUAGGUAUAUGACUUGGUUUUAGCCACAAUGAGAGACAUGCUAGUGUGAUUUUUAAAAUUUUAAUAUUCCUGAUACCUACUCUGAGACCUGCCCGCGCCCUCCCUUUUAUUAGUUGUAGUGAGAAGGGAGAUGAGUAUUUGUAAAAUAAAAUUAUCAGAAUACUGUUUCAGUAUUCCUAAAUAAAUGUUAAGCGAGAAAAAAUAAAUUCAAAGAAAUAAAAUUAUUUUAUAAAAUAAAAUUUUUAAUGAAUUAUUAUUUAAAGAAAAUUAAGUAACAAAUGGCCAAUGGGAUCAAAAAAUAAAUGGACAACUUUAAUUGAAUGACAAAUUAAGUGAAUUGCACCACAGGAAAAUCUCACGACAAAACAUGGUUGUUGAAAACCAGCGAUAAGGACAGUUUUGAUCAUUAAAACGACAACAUUGAACAACAGACCCGGUACAACAAACAUGAAAUUCAGGCCGCGAGCAAGGGAAUGCCUGAUUACAUGAUGAAAUUAUUUCAAUAGCCCCAUAACUCAAAAUGGGAUACUAAAACAUACUUAUUGGUGUGUUGCAUGAGAAUCGGAGUUUACAGAGAGUGAGCUAGCAGGAUGAGUCAGAGUUUGAGGAAUAGCUUGAGUAGUGUGAGAAUGAGUAAGUAGGACAAAAUAUGACGUGAUUGUCAGUGCUACAUAUAUGGGAGUAUUAGAGUAAGUUAGACCAUAAGUAAGUAAGUUUAUACUGAGACAGUUGUAUUGUGUACAAUGUACAUUAUACCAAAUGGCGAAUACAUUGUUUCUAAUCAGCCAGACGCUGCCCAUUAUUUCAUACCACAUGGCGCAAUGUAACCUUGACAUUUUUAAUAACUAAUAAUUUUUAAAAUUUAAAAUUUUGUGAAUAAAUAUGUCGUUUUUAUCUUAAUUUUCUUGAAUUUUUGUUGUCAUGCAAUGGUCGAAAACUCUUUCCAUUGUUAAAAAAUUGGUUUUGAGAAGUUAGCAUCUGUCGUGCAUAACACUUAUUUUCUGUCGUUCAAAUCACUUACCUAAUCUGUUGUGCCGAUAUGUGGCACCCAAAGUAAAUGUAUCAGAGAUUUUUACUUUACCUAGCUUACAAUAAAACUUAUGAGUAUCACUAGACAGGUUUGCAACUGCAGUUGCGCAGCAAAUUAACCUAGUAUAGAUAUAUUGAGUUAUUACAAAUAAAACAGAGGAAUUUCGAUUUUCUAAUUCGAUUUGAACAAUAAAUACCUAUUAGUAGGUACAUAGGUACUUAACUUCACUCUGAAUCAACCUGAUACGAACCAACACGACUACACAAAGUUUACCGUAUCUUACUACAGAGGAGAAAAAAGUUGCUCGCUGUAAAAACCGGUAUUUACCAUUUGUAUUUCUUUUCAAGUACCUACGUUAUUUUGGAAGGAACUACUGAUGAGUUCUAAUGAAUUUGAUUUUGAGGUGAAUUAUUCAUUCAUUUUGCAUUAAAAAAUUUUAUUUUGUAUAUAAGUAAUCAAAUUUUUGCACAGUACAAUAACUGAUUCAAAAAUAAUAAGUAUAAAUAAAAAUCACCAGAGUAAUUAUGUUCUGUUAGUCAGAUUAAGAGGCAAAUUUCCUUUGAGCUCGAGAUUUCUCAAUGAGUUUAUAGUGGUGCCUACCAGCUAUAAUGUUGCUGAUUUUGUGUUUUACUAUAUUGCAUGCACAAGUAGGUGUAGGUAUGACUUGGUUUUACCCACAAUGAGAGAUAUGCUAGUGUGAUUUUUAAAAUUAUAAUAUUUCUGAUACCUACACUGAGACCCACCCUCCCUUUUAUUAUAUAUAGUUGUAGGGAGAUGAGUAUUAGUAAAAUAAAAUGAUCAGAAUACUGUUUCAGUAUUCCCAAGUAAAUGUUGAGGGAGAAAAGGUAAAUUUAAAGAAAUAAAAUUAUUUUACAAAAUGAAAUUUUUAAUGAAUUAUUAUUUAUAGAAAAUUAAGUAACGAAUGGCCAAUGGGAUCAAAAAAAAAAAAAAGGGGGAAAACUUUAUUAGUUGCAGGGAGAUGAGUAUUUGUAAAAUAAAAUGAUCAGAAUACUGUUUCAGUAUUCCUAAAUAAAUGUUGAGGGAGAAAAGGUAAAUUUAAAGAAAUAAAAUUAUUUUACAAAAUGAAAUUUUUAAUGAAUUAUUAUUUAAAGAAAAUUAAGUAACAAAUGGCCAAAUAUAUGGGAUCAAAAAGUAAAUGGGAAAACGUUACCUAAUUGAAUGACAGAUUAAGUGAAUUGCACGACAGGAAAAUCCCACGACAAAACAUGGUUGUUGGAAAACAGCAAUUUAACGACAGUUUUGAUCAUUAAAAUGAUAACAUUGAACGACAGACCUGGUACAACAAACAUAAAACUCAAGUCUCGAGCAAGUGAAUGCCUGAUUACCUGAUGAAAUUAUUUCAAUAGCCCGAUAACUCAAAAUGGGUUAUUAAAACUUACUUAUUGCCUUAUUGGCGCGGCGUGUUGUAUGAGAAUCGGAGUUUACAAAGAGUAAGCUAGUCGGAUGAGUCCGAGUUCGAGGAAUAGCUUGAGGAGUGUGAGAAUGAGUAAGUAGGACAAAGUAUGACGUGAUUGUCAGCGCUAUAUGGGAGUAUUAGAGUAAGUUAGACCAUGAGUAAGUUUAUACUGAGACAGUUGAAUUGUGUACAUUAUACCGAAUACGUACAUCGUUUCUAAUCAACCAGAUUCUGCCCAUUAUUUCAUAUACCACAUGACGCAAUGCAACGCUGACAUUUUUAAUAAUUGAUAAUUUUUCAAAUUUUAAAUUUUGUGAACAAAUUUGUAAUUUUUAUCUUGAUUUUGUUGUUUAUUACCAAAAUUGUCGAUGCAUUUCAUUCCAUUUGUUGGGCAUGCGCCGGCAUGCACUUGAAUUUUUGUUGUCAUGCAAUGGUCGAAAACUAGUAUUUCUGUCAUUAAAAAAGUGGUUUUGAGACGUUAGCAUCUAUCUUGCAAAAAACGUAUUUUCUGUCGUUGAAGUCACUUAAUCUGUUGUGCUGAUAUAUGGCACCCAAAAUAAAUUUAUCAGAGAUUUUUACUUUACCUAGUCCUGGCUUACAACAUACCUUACAAAGUAUGACAAUUAAGAUGGCAUACUUGUAUCAGAUCUAUAUUACUCUAAUGACAAUGUAACUUUUCAAUAAUUCAGUGCAUUGUAUGUAUUGUUUUAGCAUAAUUUGCUAAAUUUAGGGUUGAGUGAAAUGAAGAGACUCGUCAGGUAAAAACACAUAAAAAUAUAUUUACACCAAAAAUUACAUAAAAACUUUACAAAAAAAAAAAUUGCGGAAACGCAUAAAACAGGACAUGUUGUCCGACCAACGAAGAUAAAAAGAAUGAGAUAUGAGUUCGUCUCAUUCGUCUCGUUAUCCACCUUUUAGUGGGCGUGGCGUUAGACCCAGUAACGUUUAAAACCAGUUGGCUUUUCGAUUAAAACCAAAUACCUAGCAUUUGCGAUCAAAUAGGUAAAAUAAAUGGGAUAAAAAAUACAACAAUUUUCAAUAAAUUAAAAACGACAAUAUUUACAGAAACAUGUAUCAAGUUCAAAAAACUACCUACUUAUUGUAAGAUUUGAAGAAUAAUUAUUUUGAAAAUAAAACCUCAAAUUAAAAAAUAAUAAUUGAUACGUAAAAUUUUAUUUACUUAUAAUAUUUGAAUUUUAAAUUCAUUAUUCUGUCACAUUAAUAUUUAAUUUAUUGAAUUUUCAUAAAAUGUGUGGUCUAUUUGAUGAAUUAUUCAUUCAUUUUACGUUGAAAAAUUUUAUUUUGCAUAUAAUUAAACUUUGCAUAGUACAAUAACUGAUUCAAAAGUAAUAAGUAGGUAUAAAUAAAAAUCACCAGAGUAGGUAUGUUGUGUUAGUCAGAUUCUAAAUGUCAAAUGCUUUAGAAAUGAUGAUACAACAAGAGGCAAAUUUCCUUUGAGUUCGAGAUUUUUCAAUGAGUUUAUGAAAGUUCCUACUAGCUAUAAUGUUGCUGCAUUUACAAGUAGGUGCAGGUAUGACUUGUUUUUAGCCAUAAUGAGAGACAUGCUAGUGUGAAUUUUAAAAUUGAAGCAUGUGUUUCCAAAACGCACUAAGUCCAAAAAAAUAUUGAUAAGAAAUUCAUGGUACUUAGUACAAUUUGGAAACGUAGAAGUGGACCAAAUUGGCUGAUUUUUUGAUAUGUUCUAGCCAAGACCCUUAGACACAACAUAUCAAAAAAUCAGCCAUUUUGGGCCGCAACUUUAUGCUAGAUGGCCUUGCAACCUCAGAAUCUUUGAAAAUGGACUUAGUGCGUUUUGGAAACACAUGCUUCAAUUAUAAUUUUUCUGAUACCUACACCGAGACCCAUCCUCCCUUUUAUCAGUUGUAGGGUGACGAGUGUUUAUAAAAUAAAAUGAUCAGAAUACGAAUACUAUUUCAGUAUUCCUAAAAUAAAUGUUGAGGAAAAAAAGUUAAAUUUAAAAAAAUUGAAUGGGAUCAAAAAAUAAAUGUAGAAAAAUUGAAAAAAUUACUCCCUCUUUAUAUCAGGUAUUUAUUUGAUCAGGGUAGGUAUGCAGUUUAUUUAACUGAAUUUUCACCGUUUCAAUUUAUUUUGUUAUAAUAUAUAUAUUUAAGAAUGUAAUUACCUACUUAUCUACCUAUUCUUUUUUUCAAUUUUUUUUUCUGUGUUAGGUAUAGUAUAUAUGUAUAAUAUGCGAUAAAAGUUUGUAAAGAUUUAUUUUUAUAUAUGAAGAGUGAUAUUCCAAAACUUGCUUUGUCCAUUUUCACAACUUUUCAGGAGAGAGGAAAAACAGUUUCCCUUUAGACGGGUAAAUUGGCUUUUUAGGCGAGUUUAGCACUUUAUUUGAGUAGAUUUAUGAUGUAGGAGUGUAGGUAUACAUUUCAUCCACUAAAUACUGCUGAAAAAAAUUUCAAUAAAAACGGACAAAACGCGUUUUGGAACAUUAUUUUUUUUUUAAUUUUUAGUGAAUUGGCUAUUUAGGUGAGUUUAACACCUCAUUUUGGUAGGUUGAUGAUGUAGGAAUGUGAGUUAAUACUUCAUCUACCAGGUACCACUGAAAACCCAACUUUGAUAAAAAUGGACAAAGCGAGUUUUGGAAUAUCACUCUUCAUAUGUAUUGUAUGUUGUUUGUAAAGUUUGUUAAUCAUCAGUAAAAAUUUUAUUUCGACUUUA